rnacentral:rRNA from 1 species
GUCUAUGGCCAUGCCACCCUGAACAAGCCCAAUCCUGUCUGGUCUCGGAAGCUGACCGGGCCUGGUUAGUACUUGGAUGGGAAACCACCUAGGAAGACCAGGUGCUGUAGGUG